rnacentral:rRNA from 1 species
GCGAAAGCGAGUCCGAAUAGGGCGAUUGAGUCGCGUGCUCUAGACCCGAAGCGGAGUGAUCUAUCCAUGGCCAGGGUGAAGCGACGGUAAGACGUCGUGGAGGCCCGAACCCACUUGGGUUAAAAACCGAGGGGAUGAGCUGUGGAUAGGGGUGAAAGGCCAAUCAAACUGAGAGAUAGCUCGUACUCCCCGAAAUGCUUUUAGGAGCAGCGUGUGGGUGAGUUUACUAGAGGUAGAGCUACCGAUUGGACUAGGGGGAGUCACAUCCUACCAAAUCCAGACGAACUCCGAAUGCUAGUAAAUAUACCACGCAGUGAGGGUUGGGGUGCUAAGGUCCCAAUCCGAGAGGGAAAGAACCCAGACCUACAGCUAAGGUCCCAAAAUCUACGCUAAGUUGAACUAAGGAGGUCCAGUUGCUUAGACAGCCAGGAUGUUGGCUUGGAAGCAGCCAUU